GACGAACGCUGGCGGCGUGCCUAAUACAUGCAAGUUGAGCGCUGAAGGUUGGUACUUGUACCGACUGGAUGAGCAGCGAACGGGUGAGUAACGCGUGGGGAAUCUGCCUUUGAGCGGGGGACAACAUUUGGAAACGAAUGCUAAUACCGCAUAAAAACUUUAAACACAAGUUUUAAGUUUGAAAGAUGCAAUUGCAUCACUCAAAGAUGAUCCCGCGUUGUAUUAGCUAGUUGGUGAGGUAAAGGCUCACCAAGGCGAUGUUACAUAGCCGACCUGAGAGGGUGAUCAGCCACAUUGGGACUGAGACCCGGCCCAAACGCCUACGGGAGGCAGCAGUAGGGAAUCUUCGGCAAUGGACGAGAGUCUGACCGAGCAACGCCGCGGGAGGGAAGAAGGUUGUCGGAUCGUAAAACUCUGUUGGUAGAGAAGAACGUUGGUGAGAGUGGAAAGCUCAUCAAGUGACGGUAACUACCCAGAAAGGGACGGCUAACUACGUG
rnacentral:rRNA from 1 species